rnacentral:tRNA from 1 species
UUAAAAAGCAGUGUAUGAGCCCACAGAGUUUUGAUCUCUGAAGAAAAAAUUAAUUAUUUUUCUUUUUAAG